CAUCGUGAGGUGGAAUCUGAAGGAAGCUAGAGGCAAAUCUCUGGUCUGACGUACAGAAAUCACAUCAGGCAAUAUUUAAGGAUAAGGUUGCCAUACAAACCGAAUUCCAAUAACUACUCGGAAUUAACUAUUGUAAAUGUGGCAGAUAUAUUGAGAGAAAGAAAC
rnacentral:ncRNA from 1 species